GAACCUGCCUCAAAGAGGGGGACAACAGUUGGAAACGACUGCUAAUACCGCAUAAGCCCACGGGUCGGCAUCGACCAGAGGGAAAAGGAGCAAUCCGCUUUGAGAUGGCCUCGCGUCCGAUUAGCUAGUUGGUGAGGUAAUGGCCCACCAAGGCGACGAUCGGUAGCCGGACUGAGAGGUUGAACGGCCACAUUGGGACUGAGACACGGCCCAGACUCCUACGGGAGGCAGCAGUGGGGAAUAUUGCACAAUGGGGGAAACCCUGAUGCAGCGACGCCGCGUGGAGGAAGAAGGUCUUCGGAUUGUAAACUCCUGUUGUUGGGGAAGAUAAUGACGGUACCCAACAAGGAAGUGACGGCUAACUACGUGCCAGCAGCCGCGGUAAAACGUAGGUCACAAGCGUUGUCCGGAAUUACUGGGUGUAAAGGGAGCGCAGGCGGGAAGACAAGUUGGAAGUGAAAUCUAUGGGCUCAACCCAUAAACUGCUUUCAAAACUGUUUUUCUUGAGUAGUGCAGAGGUAGGCGGAAUUCCCGGUGUAGCGGUGGAAUGCGUAGAUAUCGGGAGGAACACCAGUGGCGAAGGCGGCCUACUGGGCACCAACUGACGCUGAGGCUCGAAAGUGUGGGUAGCAAACAGGAUUAGAUACCCUGGUAGUCCACACCGUAAACGAUGAUUACUAGGUG
rnacentral:rRNA from 1 species